UACAGAGGGGGCAAGCGUUGUUCGGAAUUACUGGGCGUAAAGGGCGCGUAGGCGGCCUGCUAAGUCGAACGGGAAAUCCCUGGGCUCAACCCAGGAACUGCGUCCGAUACUGGUUGGCUUGAAUCCGGGAGAGGGAUGUGGAAUUCCAGGUGUAGCGGUGAAAUGCGUAGAUAUCUGGAGGAACACCGGUGGCGAAGGCGACAUCCUGGACCGGUAUUGACGCUGAGGCGCGAAAGCCAGGGGAGCAAACGGG
rnacentral:rRNA from 1 species